GGUUCUGAGGUUUGGACCUCUCAAAAUUUUAUUGGAAGAAUUUUCAGAUCAACCAGAAUUAAUUUGGACAGACCGUAUGACAACACAGAGAUUGAGAGAGAGCGCAGACUGAGAGUUACGCGUGCAUGUCUUCAGCAUACAAGACACUUUCUUUUCUAUCUCCUAGGACCAUGUGGUGGAAACCAUAGGUAUGUCUCCAUUGAUGGGAGAACUGCAACAAACAAAGACAACUAAGCCAGUAUCGCUGACGGUAUUCCAGCUCAGAUGUUCAAAGCUGGUAGGUUUUGACCCACAUCAAGACUCCAUGACCUCACCCUGUGGAUUCAGCUGAAACCAGAACGAGUGUAAAACAGAAGAGAUGAAGGCAAGUGUGGACUGGUGAACAACAUUUGGAUGCAGACUCUUGGAUAGUGAAAGAAAACCGGAGGUGAAACAAGCCAAUAUCAAUAGUCCCACUGAGUGAAAACUACUGUAGAUUUAAGAUCACACCUCAAGACUGCAAAAGAUAUGACUGUCAUAAAAGGGAACAUUAUUUGUACACAACCUAUUGGCUCUGUGCCUGGGAACUGCUAAUUGCUGUGUAACAUGACUUCAGAUGUAGUAUAGAGCAUUUGUGGAGAAUCUCAAGCAUAAAACUUAACAUAUUGAUACGACAGGGCCUCAACUGGUUCUGUGCAGACUGUCUUUUGAAUCAACCUGAAGCUGCUAAA